UGAUAUCAAUGCUGAGAAACAUGCUAGGGAUCCAUAUGAAAAUGCAAGAGAAUUUGCUGCAAUGAACCAACAGUACAACAACAGGAACACCUAUGGAAACAAUGAAUACAGCACCAACAAUAACAGAUUUGAGAAUGAAGAGGAGUUCCAAGUUGAAGACAACAUGCCUUGAGCUUUUGUUCAACACUUUGAUGAAAACAAAAAAAAAGCCAACAACAACAGUUUUGAGAAUGAAGAGGAGUUCCAAGUUGAAGACAACAUGCCUUGAGCUAUUGUUCAACACUUUGAUGAAAACAAAAAAAGUAAACAUAGUGAGCCAAAAGGAAUGUUAUGUGUCCCACAAUUAUCAUUAAUGUUGUUUUCCUUUUUUAUCUAAGUUAUAUUUUAUUAGCAAAAUGUUAAUUAAACUACAGAGUUGUUUUUGGGUUUUUUAUGUAUAAUUAUGAUGAAUUUCUACUGAUACACAGUUAUGAUUAUAAGGACUUGUAUUUUUAAAUCCACAGUGAAAAAAAUUGUAGUGAUCAAAUAUCAUUGUGUCAACUAGCUUAUGCCAGUAAGCAAUCUAA
rnacentral:lncRNA from 1 species